GGAUUUGGGGUCUCUGUGGGGCAGUCGGGGGGUCAUGGGAUCCCAUUGGGGUGGUGGGUCUCUAUGGGGUGGUAUUGGGGUCAUGGGAUCCCACUGGGGCGGUUCUGGGGUCUCUGUGGGGCGGUUCUGGGGUCUCUGUGGGGCAGUUUUGGGGUCACUGAGAUCCCCUUGGGGUGGUGGGUCUCUCUGGGGUGUUUUUGGGGUCAUGGGAUCCCAUUGGGGUGGGUUUUGAGGUCUUUGUGGGGUGGUUUUGGGGUCACUGGGUUCCCAUUGGGGUGUUGGGUCUCUGUGGGGUGGUUUUGGGGUCUAUGUGGGGCAGUUUUGGGGUCAUGGGAUCCCAUUGGGGCGGUUUUGGGGUCCCCAUGGGGCAGUUUUGGGGUCCCCAUGGGGCGGUUUUGGGGUCCCUGUGGGUCCCUGUGGGGCAGUCUUGGGGUCCCCGUGGGGCGGUUUGGGGUCCCCGUGGGGCGGUUUGGGGUCCCCGUGGGGCAGUUUGGGGUCCCCAUGGGGCAGUUUUGGGGUCCCUGUGGGUCUGAGUGGGGCAGUCUUGGGGUCUGAGUGGGGCGGUUUGGGGUCCCUGUGGGUCUUGGGGUCCCUGUGGGUCCCCGUGGGGCGGUUUUGGGGUCCCUGUGGGUCCCCGUGGGGCGGUUUUGGGGUCCCUGUGGGUCCCCGUGGGGCGGUUUUGAGGUCCCUGUGGGUCCCCAUGGGGUGGUUUGGGGUCCCUGUGGGGUAGUCUUGGGGUCUCAGUAGGGUGGUUUGGGGUCCGUGUGGGUCUCAGUGGGGCGGUUUGGGGUCCCCGUGGGUCUGAGUGGGGCGGUGUGGGGUCCCCGUGGGGCGGUUUGGGGUCGGUGUGGGUCUGAGUGUGGCGGCUCCUGCAGGUGGGGCCGCGGGCUGGGGCUACUGGAGGCGCUGGUGGGCCGGGACAGCGCCGUCAACGUCCCCAACAGCGUCAUCGGGAUCGGCUUCUACGGCAUGCAGGCGCUGCUGGGUGCGGCCCCACAUCGCCCCACCGCGUCCGUGUGUCCCCCUGUCCGUCCGUGUGUCCCCAGAGCAUCCCCGUCUCCGUCCGUGUGUCCCCCAGCGUGUCCCCGUCUCCGUCCGUGUGUCCCCCAGCGUGUCCCCGUCUCUGUCUGUGUGUCCCCAUCUCUGUCUGUGUGUCCCCAAUGCAUCUCCAUCUCCACCCACAUGUCCCCAUCUGUGUGUCCCCAAUGCAUCCCCAUCUCUGUCCGUGCGUCCCCAACAUGUCCCCAUGUCCAUCCGCGUGUCCUCAUCUCCCCAGUGCGUCCCCAUCUCUGUCCAUGCGUCCCCAAUGCGUCCCCAAUGCGUCCCCAAUGCGUCCCCAAUGCGUCCGUCCCCAAUGCGUCCGUCCCCAAUGCGUCCGUCCCCAAUGCGUCCGUCCCCAAUGCGUCCGUCCCCGUGUCCGUCCCCGUGUCCGUCCCCGUGUCCGUCCCCGUGUCCGUCCCCGUGUCCCCAAUGCGUCCCCAUGUCAAACCACAUGUCCCCAACACGUCCCCAUGUCCCCAACACAUCCCCAGGUCCAUCCUUGUGUCCCCAUCCCCAUCCGUGUGUCCCCAACGCGUCCCCAUCCCCAUCCGUGUGUCCCCAUGUCCAACCACGCGUCCCCAUGUCCAACCACGCGUCCCCAUGUCCAACCACGCGUCCCCAUGUCCAACCACGCGUCCCCAUGUCCAAC
ensembl:lncRNA